rnacentral:rRNA from 1 species
AGUCGAGGGGUAGAAGCAGCUUGCUGCUUUGAGACCGGCGCACGGGUGCGUAACGCGUAUACAAUCUACCUUUUACAGAGGGAUAGCCCAGAGAAAUUUGGAUUAAUACCUCAUAGUAUUUUCGAAUCGCAUGAUUUGAUUAUUAAAGUUCCAACGGUAAAAGAUGAGUAUGCGUCCCAUUAGCUAGAUGGUAAGGUAACGGCUUACCAUGGCAACGAUGGGUAGGGGUCCUGAGAGGGAGAUCCCCCACACUGGUACUGAGACACGGACCAGACUCCUACGGGAGGCAGCAGUGAGGAAUAUCGGACAAUGGGCGCAAGCCUGAUCCAGCCAUGCCGCGUGCAGGAAGACGGUCCUAUGGAUUGUAAACUGCUUUUAUACAGGAAGAAACACCUCUACGUGUAGAGACUUGACGGUACUGUAUGAAUAAGCAUCGGCUAACUCCGUGCCAGCAGCCGCGGUAAUACGGAGGAUGCAAGCGUUAUCCGGAAUCAUUGGGUUUAAAGGGUCCGUAGGCGGUUUAAUAAGUCAGUGGUGAAAGCCCAUCGCUCAACGAUGGAACGGCCAUUGAUACUGUUAAACUUGAAUUAUUAGGAAGUAACUAGAAUAUGUAGUGUAGCGGUGAAAUGCUUAGAGAUUACAUGGAAUACCAAUUGCGAAGGCAGGUUACUACUAAUAUAUUGACGCUGAUGGACGAAAGCGUGGGGAGCGAACAGGAUUAGAUACCCUGGUAGUCCACGCCGUAAACGAUGGAUACUAGCUGUUCGGAGCAAUCUGAGUGGCUAAGCGAAAGUGAUAAGUAUCCCACCUGGGGAGUACGUUCGCAAGAAUGAAACUCAAAGGA